rnacentral:rRNA from 1 species
ACGGCAGCACGGGUGCUUGCACCUGGUGGCGAGUGGCGAACGGGUGAGUAAUGCGUCGGAACGUACCGAGUAGUGGGGGAUAACGCAGCGAAAGUUGUGCUAAUACCGCAUAUUCUGUGAGCAGGAAAGCGGGGGAUCUUCGGACCUCGCGCUAUUCGAGCGGCCGACGUCUGAUUAGCUAGUUGGUGGGGUAAUGGCUCACCAAGGCGACGAUCAGUAGCGGGUCUGAGAGGAUGAUCCGCCACACUGGGACUGAGACACGGCCCAGACUCCUACGGGAGGCAGCAGUGGGGAAUUUUGGACAAUGGGCGAAAGCCUGAUCCAGCCAUGCCGCGUGUCUGAAGAAGGCCUUCGGGUUGUAAAGGACUUUUGUCAGGGAGGAAAUCCCCAGGGCUAAUACCCUUGGGGGAUGACAGUACCUGAAGAAUAAGCACCGGCUAACUACGUGCCAGCAGCCGCGGUAAUACGUAGGGUGCAAGCGUUAAUCGGAAUUACUGGGCGUAAAGCGUGCGCAGGCGGUUGGUUAAGCAAGAUGUGAAAGCCCCGGGCUCAACCUGGGAACUGCGUUUUGAACUGGCCAGCUAGAGUACGUCAGAGGGGGGUGGAAUUCCGCGUGUAGCAGUGAAAUGCGUAGAGAUGCGGAGGA